GUCAUUUCUGGUACGUGUACCUGAAGCCUGGCGUCUCGACCUCGGCGCAGCCCGUCACCAGCGGCGUCUGGGGCAGUCACCCCGCAGGACCUCGGUUUUUGCACUUGUAAAAUGAAGACAGCUGUGUCGUUGUACUUCAAAGGCUAGUGAUGGGAUGUGGUUGCUGAAAAAUGUAAAAUGUACGGCUCGUGCUGCACUUUCCAUUCCAAACGUGGGUGACAGUCCAGCCAAAAUACCCUCGAAAGAAGAACCCCAGGCGUGAUAUUUGCUUACUCUUGUCUGAAAUACUUAAGUAUAACUGUAGAAAGUGUUAAGUGAAAAGACCUGAAGGAGAGCAAAGGGCAGUAGUAAGCUUCCAUCUUGACAAAUGUAAGGAAUGUUUUAUCUGUGUCUUAAAGUCGUGUGCGUAUGUUAGAGGGGGCGUCCCAGAUUUUUUCCGUCUUUCGCAAUGUUCAACGAAAGUAAAAAAUCAUGCAAUUACUGCAUGACUUCAACAUCAAACAAGUCUGAGGUUCUGCAGGUAAAUGGUAUAUUGUUGUUUUAGCAUGAAAGUUUUCACAAAUAUGUAGGGGGCAAAACCAAAACAUACAUUAUUUUGGCUAUGGGAGGCUUCAUUUGAUACUUUAAAUUCCAUUUUCAUACUAGUCUCAAUUCAGAAAUGCUCCCUAAAGUUGUAUGACCUUGUAAAUGUUUUUCAUCAUAGCAACAGCAGGCCCAAAUAUUAAAUAUUCCUUUCUCUUCUGUGCCAAAGUUCUUCUCCUUACCCUCUGCCUAAUGUUAUUGUACACUUCCUAUUCUAUGUAUAACUGGAACCUAAAAACAAAACCAAAAACUUUAAAAAACAAAUAAUCAUUUGAAAACCAUCUACGCCUUAAAAACUAGUUGGAAAUCCAUAUUGCUCUCUAUCCUGGUAAUAAAAUCAAGUUAGGUUGCUGCUGAAGUAAACAAGUUAGUACCUGAUCUGACUCUGUAUGGUGGCAUCAGCAGGGAGUUGAGACAGUCCAAAACAGCAAAACCAAACUCGGCCAUAAAUUGAAAACAAAAAUAAAGAACCAAUUGUUAAGACUUCAUGAAUUGGCAUUCAUAAACAACACAGUUCUGCAUUAUAUGUAUUCAAAAUCUCUUCCUUCUUACUGGCAAGCAGGGCAAUCAACAAUCUUUAUUACUAAAACUUUGUGGGAUAUUUAUAAAUGCAUGAUUUUAUUUUCCAAAGUGGCAAUUAAAUAUCAAAUUACAAUUUUCUUUUUCUUUUUUUUCUUUUUUUUUUUUUUUGAGAUGGGGUCUCACCCACGCUGGAGUGCAAUGGCGCAAUCUUGGCGCACUGCAACAUCCGCCUCCCGGGUUCAAGCGAUUCCCCCACCUCAGCCUGCCAAGUAGCUGGGAUUACAGUUGUGCACUACCACGCCCGGCUAAUUUUUGUAUUGUUAGUAGAGACGGGGUUUCACCAUGUUGGCCAGGCUAGUAUCGAACUUCCGACCUCAGAUGAUCCACCCACCUCAGCCUCCCAAAGUGCUGGGAUUACAGGCGUGAGCCACCACGCCUGGCCUCAAAUUACAAUUUUCAUUGCCGAAGCAGAAUAUAUUUUCACAGUUUACAUGUGUAUUUCUUAGUUUACUGAAAAUUCAAAGUACAAGUUACAUUCUAACGUGAACUGGAAGUAUUUCCUAAAAAGUUAUUUUUAACACAAAUAUCCAAUUGAAGAGCAGUUUAUUACAAAUCAACAACUCGGGCUGGGCACGGUGGCUCACGCCUGUAAUCCCAGCACUUUGGGAGGCGGAGGCGGGUGGAUCAC
rnacentral:lncRNA from 1 species